GUUCGUGUGAAUCUCAUAUUUAAUUGUUUUUUUAUAUUCACGCUGUCCUGUGCAUAUCAUAAACUGGCUGAAUUCAGGACGGUGUGGGGCAGUUACAGAACUACGCACAGCCUGCUUGUCCAGUGACAUGGGUCUCAGUCAAAACAGAGCUGAAACAGAGCACUUACUUUGUCAUCUACGUUUGAGGCUUUGUCAAAUAUUUAGCGGGAUCGGCAGGUUUGGGUUAAGCAAGAAACCCAUGUAGGGCGUGGUGGCGCAGUCCUUGCAGUCCCUGCACUCAGGAGGCAGCAAGAGAAGAUGGCAAGUUUAAGACCGGGCUAACAACAAUAACAAACAAAGCCCAUGAAAAGCAACAGAAGCAAAUGGUUUGGUAUCUCCAUUAGCUAUGACAUUAGUUGAUACAGAGUUUUGCUUUAAAGGUUACAUUUUAGUUAUCUAUGCAGUUGACUGAAGCAUUUCUCAUAGGAAGGGGGCUCGUUAGACUCAGGAGUUAAGGAAAACAUAGGUAAAGCUCAAGCAGCCCAGACACGAGUCACACUGUGGUGAACCGCUGAUAGGAAAGAAAACUUCAACAGAACAGCCUGCAGGUUGCACAAGGAGCUCCAGGGAAGUAGUCAUUACCCACAGGGGUGGAAUUUUUAGUGACACAGCAAACAGUCUUUGAGUCGGACAUGUUCUUGGAAGUCACCUCAGUCCAGGAGACCAACUGGUUCUCUAAGCUAGACUUGAGUGGAAUCCUAUCAUCGGUGUUAUCAGCAUGGUGUCUGAAAUGAAUAGACAUGCAUUUAAGUUUCUUUAGGAAGAGUCUGGGAUUCAGUUCCAGGGAAUCUGAUGCCUUCUUCUAGCCUCUGAGGACCCUGCAUGCACAUGUUUUACUACAUUCUUAUAGGCAAAACACUCAAACACGAAAAUACAGAUAUUAAAAAGAUGUUUUGGGGCUAGAGAGAUGGAUCAGUGGUCGUCAGGCCUGGCUGUUCUUGUAAAGAUUUGAUUGCCAGCCCCCAAUGGUAGCUUCUUAUACCCAUCUGUAGUUCUGGCUACAGAGGAUCUGAUGCCGUCUUGUGACCUCUGCGGACACUGCACACACAUGCUACACACAAUACAGCACUGUCUUAUACACUGCCACUCUGCUUUGUGUGUCUGGGAAUGUCACCUUUAGGUACCUCAUUUAGAGUAGAAUCUUCGUUCGUUGGAACUGGCUUGUCCGAUUUAAUGACGUCAGCCAUCAUACAUCACUAAUCACUUGUUAGAGAAGCUGUGUAUGUCUUGUUGUGUAGACAUACCACUCAGUCCACUCCUCUGUCCACAGACACUUACAUUGCUUCUGCCUUUAUUGUAACUAAUGCCUCCAUGAACACUGGUAUAUUAGUUACUUUCCUAUCGCUGUGGUUAAGCACCGUGAUCAAGGUGACUUACAGAUGAAAGAUAGAUCUGGACAUAGACUCAGACAGCUAGCUUAUCUAGAGAACACAACUGUUUCAACCCACUAAAUGACCUCCAGAAGUCCUAGUAGCAAUAAAGCAUUUUCAGAUAAAGCUAUUAUGACUUGAAAGCAAAAUGGGUCACUAAUUUCUAAAUUUUUGCUAAGUAGGGUUUAAGCUCACACUGAAUGAUUCAUGUUCUUAAAAAAAAGAAAUUCUUAAUUUUUACCCUUUGAACCAACUGGGGAAAUAGUCCUGGUUUGCCACCAUUCGAGUAACUUUCUACAAAUGAAAUUUACAAAGAAAGAUUUCAGUUGUGGGAAUGUCAAUAAAAAACAUCUUCAAACAGCACGUCUCCCAACAUUCCUAGAGAUAAUUUCAUCCUCGUCCUACAUUUUAGGACAAUUUUUCAAGCAUUGUGAUCCAAGUGAAGUCUAUGUCUUCCCUCCUUAGAUGCUUGGAAAAAUCAGUAAUGAGGACACUAUCGCCUCCUUGUGCUGUGAAUUCUCUCUCUACUCAGUACACUUGAAGCAUGGAAACCAGGUCCUCUUCCAUGCAGACCUAAGAGACUUCCGAAGACGGCUCUGAACUCUCUCUGCCCAGACUCAGGCACCUAACUCCACGAUGCCAGCAACGUUCAAAACAAAAUUAACCAAAACGACAACAAAACUACUCCUUCUGCUGCUUUUACUGACAUGUCUCUAAUUUCUAGUUCUACUUAGUAAGACUGCUCUUCAAUUUUCUUAUUAAUAACAAAAACUUAAUUCCUUGGAGAUUAGCUGAGGAAGAUUGUUAGUAGGACUGUGGGUAGAUAAGCCAGCUGCAGACACGGUUUACUAGCAGGCCAUUUACGGGAUGGAUUUAGGUCGAAGGGUAAGGAGUCUAGAGAGUCAGUGCACGCAGAGCUGGGAGGAAGCUCAGUGCAGAGCUCAGGUCUCUGCAUGCUGGAGGACCACACUGGAGUUUGACAGCAGAUCCACAAUAAACAAAACCAGUGGCGAUGACUGAUUAACAGAUGAUUUUCUGUCAUCCGAUGCUUUACCAAGAAGGCAUGGGUCUUGUAAAAAUCUGAUUUAGGGUCAGUGGACAUGCUCAGUGAGUAAAGUAUGAGGCCUGAGUUCAAAUUCCUAGAAGUCUCGUAAAGCACGGGUGUAGUAAGAGUGUGUAAUGUCAGCACUCUCACGGCUUCAUGGCAAGUUGAGACGAGUCCUCAGAAGGACGUAGGUACUGGCCUGGCACACAGAAGAAAACACAAGUCCCCGUGUCAGACAUGGCAGAAGCUAUACAUGACUUAGCACGUUUGUGUAUUCAUUCAUUCACACAGACACACACGUACACACACACACACAGACACACACACACACACCAUAAAUUAACAAAAAAGAAAACAAAAGGUCUGAUUUUUUCCCCCUCGCUCUGCCAUUUAACAGUAUUUGACUUUAGAAAGGUCAUUUAAUUCUAAUCUACAAGUGGGUAAUGUUCAUUAAGAGUGGAUAUGGGGAACAAUGCUCUUCUAGACAUGUCUGAACAUGUCCUGUGUCCUGUGGGAUGAAAGGGGAGAGUUGCCCACAAGACCACCAUUGUCCUUUCUUAUACCUUUGCUGUCUCAAGUAAAACUCAGGCUGAAGAAAGGAUAACAUUGCUAGCUCCUUUGAUUUCUUUUUUUCAGCAAAUCUUGAAUUUAUUGCUCUUGCUUUUGGUGAUUGAUCAACCUGUGUAAUUCACAGGGCAGGGAGGUCGAGGUGGAGAGAUGUGCAGAUUAUUUUUCCAUGUACGGUCAUUUCUUUUGCUCCAUCAGACUGGAAGAUGGCUAUUAAAUUCAAUUAGUCACUUUUUAUUUUCUUCAUGUUCCAAAGAUUCUUUUUUUCCUGCUGCGCUAGGAGACCUUGAUUUCCGUUGCUAGGAAACCUAGAAGGCGCUUUUGCUCUUCAUGGAAACGGUGUUUAGCAGGAUCAUUUUGACUGAUAGUUUAUUCACUCUUUGGCUUUGUGCCAACUCAAAGGCAGCUCACUUCAAGUCCAUACAAGGUAACUCAUCAAAGCUCAUUUCUUUUGAGCUCACACCUGUCUGAACUGAGUGAUUUUAUGAUCCAAAAUUAAAAAGUCGAGAAAAAAAAUUUACCAAUGGAAAGAGUUGGACUACACAGCAAUGGUAUAUCUUUGAAUGCCUGGCACCGCUCAGAAGAUUUAAAGAAAAAGUUUGUAAGAAAGCAAAAGCACGGAGUUUCCUUUGAUGGAAUGUGUGUAUUUUUUUUUAAAGGACUAAAGAUGUAAGACAAUCUUAAGAUUUAAUAGAUGAAAAUAGAUCAAUUAAAAAUGUCAAGUAUAAUUUUGAGAAAUAAAUAAAAUUGAAUUAAAAAUUAAACUGGAAGCAAGGGAGAUGCCUCAGCGGGUGAAGUAUUGACACACAAGAAUGAGGAUCAGAGUAUAGGAUGCUGGAAACCACGCACAUGUUGGGAGGGUGUACCGUUUGCCUGUAAUCUCUCUGCUUUGUUCAGAGACAGGGAACCCCUGGCUAUCAAGGUCAUCAGGACCAGUUGUGAGUUUAAGCAAGAGAAUCUGUGUCAACAUACAAUGUAAAGAAUGCUGGUGGAAGACAUCAGAUAUUAAUUUAUGGCCUCUACAUGCACACACACACACAUACACACACACAAACACACACACGAAUACACAUAUGUAUAGCACACACAUACACCAUAUACAUCUAUGCAAGCAUUAGAAAGAUGAAAAUAAAUUGGCAGAUUAACCAACUCAGAGCUGAAAAGAGAAGUCAUGAACGGAAGAGUGCGCCACUGUGCCUGGCUCUUUAUGUGAACUCCGAGGACCAAAUUCGGAUGCUCAUGUCGAACAGCAAACAUGUUAUCUACAAAGAUAACUAACUCUCUAGGCUCCUAAAUUCUCAAAUUUACAUAUGUGUGCACACAUGUACAUAUGCACAUAUACACAUGUGCAUAAUAAUACAGUGCAUGUCGGCUUUGAGGAAAAGAUACAGAGAUGCGUGAUGAUGAAAUAAAAGAACAUUAAAGUCAUGGGGUUGGGGAUUUGGCUCAGUGGUAGAGCGCUUGCCUAGCAAGCGCAAGGCCCUGGGUUCCAUCCCCAGCUCCAGGGAAAAAAAAAACAAAAAAAAAACAUCAAAGUCAAGAACAUUUAUGCAAACCCAGAAAAAAGUCGACUGUAAACAUUCAACAACAGAGCUCUCCCGAGCCAUAGCAGAGGCCAGGAAAGAGCAUAACAGCUCGGGAACGCUAAAAAUUAUCUAUGCAAAAACCUCAAAUUCUGCUUUGAACUAAAGAGUAAUAUACAAACAGAGGCAAAACAUAGAUGCAUUCAGACAAAAACACGGCGAGUUCAACUUAUAAUCCUGCUCCAAUAAAUACCAUUCCAGGAAUUUACAGAGAACAAAAGAAAAAAAAACCAAAAAAACAAAAAAAAAUAAACAAAACAAAACAAAAAAAAACCCAAACAAACAAAAAAAAUGAACCCAAAAUAUAGAAAACUUGAAAACAGCAAAAUGUUAGGAGAAGCCUUGGGUGAAUUGAUCUGAAGACCAGCAGAAGCAGAUGGCAGCAUUAAUAAUGGCCGUCCUGGGGGGAGGGGGGCUAUAGAACUAAAGAGCCGCAGGUGAAAGGUCUCACUCAGGAGCACAGCAACACUGAGGAUAAAGCACCCAGGCUCUUCCUGGGUGUCCUGGUACAUGCAUAUAAGAAGCCCAGUUCCGGGAAGGCAUAAACGGGGUGACUGAAAGUGGAGGGUCAGCCUAGGCUAUCUCAGGAGCCUCCUCCUCAAACAACAAGACCAAAGCGACAUAAAAAUUCCAUCAACCAUAAGUUAUUUUAAGUGAAAAGGAUGUUAUUAGAGUCAGUGAGAGAAUGCAGUUGAAAGCAAAUGAUAAUUUAAGAAUUCUAAGUUCCUAUAUAAAUCCUCCGAAUAGGGAGAGCUGAAAUGGACAGUUAGACAGAGGAACUGAAGGCACGCAAUCAUAAUGAAAUGUGCAUAAUUCACAUGGAUCAAGAAGACAAAAAGAUUUAUAAAUGUGCAUCCAGGUGAUAACAAAGUGGGUCAAUAAAGCAGUAUGUUGAGCUCAGCCCUCAGAGGGUUUACACUGUACUCAAAUAUGAACAGUUCACUGCUAAAAGUAGUCCACACACUGAGUCAUAACAAAUCCAGUACAUACAAAACAUGGCAAUAUAUUUUGACCUGUGUUAAAAAUUAAAACCAAAAUGUAUCCCAAAUUUCACAAAUACUUGAAAAUUUAAAAAGUUCAUGGGACUGCUCUUCCAGAGGACCAGAGUUCAAUGACCAGCACCCAUACCAUGGCUCACAACCACGUCUAACUCUAGUUCCAGGGAUCCAACACCCCUAGAGGCCUCCUUGAGCGUUGUUCAUACAUAGUGCACAUACACACAUUUAGACAAAACAGCCAUGCACAAGAAAUAAAAACUAAAGGGUAAAUGAUUCAGUCACACCCAGUUCUCUGCUGCCCUUUUUGAUUUCUCGGACCUGUUUGCCCACCCUGAACCUGUGCUGGGUACCCAACCAGGCUUCAAGGUGAAUAUCGCCGGGACCGGUGGCCUCAGGCAGAGCUACCAAGAGCCUACCCUAUAGGGUAGUUCCGUGAUAGUUUUGGUGGCUGCUAAUAAAAUCCAGCUGUUAUUUUUUGCCGAUUUACUUUUUAUUCUGCAUCUUACUUUUAUACCCACUGCAGAUCAAGACACAAGCAGGGUCAAAGGCAGUCGGUUUGUCUAUCCUGGGCUGUUACGUAACAGCUCCAGCCAGUGGGACCCUUUAUUGGCUCAGCAACCACGGAGGGGAGCCACUUAGGCUGCUGUCAUUGAAAGUACACCAUGGUAUCAAAUAAGACUUGUAGAGUCCGGGAGACAAGCAGGAGACUCUAAGAAAAGGCACACUGGCUUCUGCUCCACCCGCUGCCCUUUUGCGGGUGAGCUCUGGGUGAGUCCACAAUGUCCCCCAGAGCUCUAGCGGGAGGGAUGGCACUGUGAAGUGGGAGAGUCGCUGGUUCCCAGUGUAACUGAUGUGGGUUUCCUGCUCUGUUCGUUCAGGGUAUCCACUUUCCCUCACAUAAUCUGCCAUUGUUCUCCCUGGUUCCUGUUUGAUUUGGCAGGGCCAGCUGCUGGCUGUGCACUCGAGGCUCCUCAUUCCGCUGUGCUAGACUCAGCUGAAACCCUUGCCUCCCCCCAACAGGAGCCAAAUGCAGCAUGAACGGUGACAUUUCUGCUCACCAGGAAAACAUAAAGAAAUCCCAAUGAAGCAAGAAGGUAGACAAAAUCCUUUCCAGCAAUUGAACAAAAAGGGUAUUUUUGGUUUUUUUCUUUUUUUUUUUUUUGCAUCUAAGUUUUAUGGAAGUCAAUUCUCCGACUCUCUGCUGGACUUUCAAACCUCCCUUUCUUUGUCCCACAUAAUUUAAACACACUUAGCUAUUCUGAGGGCGGGCCCAUAUUUGCACGGCAACCAUGGUUGGAGGAUGUCGUUGAAUUUGAAAGGCAGCACUUCCUCGUCGGGUACAUAAAUUCCAAUGAAGGUUCCGAGGAGUGUGCCAGUGGCGGCCGUGUUUGACAGUCAGACAAGAAGGUCAUUUAUCCCAAAAGACUUUGAAUCCAUGCCCAGAGUCAAAUGUAAUCUUUUUAUAAAACUCACGAGGCUUGGAAUAAAAAGUUAACUGACUCAGCGCCCUGCUCGUUAGGGAGUAGGAAGGCUUCGGAGUGGAGAGAGAGCUAAAGAGCUUGAGCAUGUCGGAUGACUUCUUUAUGGGGUCACCCAUGAUAUUUUUUAAUGAGUCUUGUGUAAAAGUUUAUAUUGCUUGUUGAGGGUUGAAAAUACCAUCUCUUUAUGAAAAUUCCCAUUUCCUAGGAAGAAAAUAGAGAAGGAAAAAAAUAAAAUGGGAUAUAGGAAGCCUGUGGGAUAGGACUUUAAAGACCCAGUACAUCAUUGAAUCAGUAAAUGAACUAACGAGUGAGUUUAGUGCCAGCAAGAGACCCCUCCAUAGUUUCAUCCCCAGGUUCCUGCCUCCUUCGAUGAUACACUAUCACCUGCAAGUCGAAGCAAAACCUUUCUUCCCAACUUGUUUCUGGUCGUGGUGUCUAUCACAGGAACAGAAAGCAAACUGUAACAUUGCUGGUGCCGGGGAGGUCACAGACCUCAGGAGCCAUUCACUGUUGCUGUUUUGCCAAGUAGACGUGCUCCCAUCGCCUCCUAAACACUCAUGCUCAUGUGCAUAGAUCAGUGACACUCUCACUGAUGCUCAGGGUGGCUCAUGGCCACAGGAGGGAGUGAACGCAGAGACUCACACCUGGUCAAAGUGUCCAGCCGGGGGAAGGGCGAAGUGCUUGCCCCUCUCUCAAGGUCCAGGGAGCAUUAUGGAAGAACAGGUCAGGGAGACCCUAAGAGCCAGAGGCUAGGGAUGUCUGCCUUUAAAAAGAUGUCUUCCGGACAAGACCUGGCUGCUGUAGUCAUGAACUCACUAUGAAAGAUUGAGGAGUGCUCCUGAGAACCUACUGACAGUGAACCCCUCUCUGAGGGGCCACUGAAAGUUAAUGGUUGCUGUGGGUAAUGUUUCUGUGCUUAGGCUCCAGUAAAUACCCUUCCAGCCUUGCUCAUGUAAAUUCAAUGACUCACACACCAAAAAGAAGACAUGAAAUUGGAGGGUAGUUGCUGAGGAGUUCAGGCAGGAAGAGGAAAGGGGGUGUGAGGAUAGCAGGGAGUGAAAAGACUAGAAUUUAUUAUAUAUGUCUAUGAAACUGUCCAAGAAUAAAAAAUAAUUUUUUAAAAAA